UCCUGGCUCAGGAUGAACGCUAGCGACAGGCUUAACACAUGCAAGUCGAGGGGCAGCGGGGUUGUAGCAAUACAACUGCCGGCGACCGGCGCACGGGUGAGUAACACGUAUGUAACCUGCCCUCUGCAGGGGGAUAAGCGGAAGAAAUUCCGUCUAAUACCGCAUAAUACAAUUUGGAGACAUCUCUGGAUUGUCAAAGGAGUGAUCCGGCAGAGGAUGGACAUGCGGCGCAUUAGCUAGUCGGCGGGGUAACGGCCCACCGAGGCUACGAUGCGUAGGGGUUCUGAGAGGAAGGUCCCCCACACUGGUACUGAGACACGGACCAGACUCCUACGGGAGGCAGCAGUGAGGAAUAUUGGUCAAUGGGCGGAAGCCUGAACCAGCCAAGUCGCGUGAGGGAAGACGGUCCUAUGGAUUGUAAACCUCUUUUGCAGGGGAGCAAGGCGCUGUACGUGUACCGCGAAGGAGAGUACCCUGAGAAAAAGCAUCGGCUAACUCCGUG
rnacentral:rRNA from 1 species